rnacentral:rRNA from 1 species
AUUGAACGCUGGCGGCAGGCCUAACACAUGCAAGUCGAACGAGUGGCGGACGGGAGAGUUAUGUCUGGGAAACCGCCCGAUGGAGGGGGAUAACUACUGGAAACGGUAGCUAAUACCGAAUACUAUCGUAUGUGCCCAGAUGGGAUUAGCUAGUAGGUGGGGUAACGGCUCACCUAGGCGACGACCCCUAGCUGGUCUGAGAGGAUGAACAGCCACACUGGAACUGAGACACGGUCCAGACUCCUACGGGAGGCAGCAGUGGGGAAUAUUGCACAAUGGGCGCAAGCCUGAUGCAGCCAUGCCGCGUGUGUGAAGAAGGCCUUAGGGUUGUAAAGCACUUUCAGCGGGGAGGCGUUACCCGCAGAAGAAGCACCGGCUAACUCCGUGCCAGCAGCCGCGGUAAUUC